AUGAAGCCUGACUUCACCCCCACCCUGACGGUGCUGCCCCCCUCCAGCGAGGAGCUGCAGCAGGGGAAGGCCACGCUCAUGUGCCUGGCCAACAAGGGUUUCCCCUCAGACUGGAGUCUGGCCUGGAAGGUGGACGGCAGCAGCAGCAGCAGCUGGGAGGAGAGCAGGAGCCCCGGGGUGCUGGAGAAGGACGGCCACUACAGCUGGAGCAGCACCCUGAGGCUCCUUGCAGACCAGUGGAGGAAGGUGGGCUCCACCCAGGGCUACCAGACUCUGCUCUCAGAGACACUGAGGAGACACCAGUGUCCCCAGUCCUGACCUGACUCACUGGGACUCUGCUACUGGUUUUACUCUGCUACUGCUCUCAGCCGUCACUCAGUAACCGUUUCUCUCUCUUUCUCUCUUUCUCUCUGUCAGCAAAAUCAUUUCAUUUUUAAAUUUUGAACAAAAAAAACUAUGAAAAAUUGAGAAGGCGGACAG